UAAGGAAUAUUGGGCAAUGGACGCAAGUCUGACCCAGCCAUGCCGCGUGAAGGAAGACGGCCCUAUGGGUUGUAAACUUCUUUUCUCAGGGGGUAAACUCUGGAACGUGUUCCGGACUGAAAGUACCUGAGGAAUAAGCAUCGGCUAACUCCGUG
rnacentral:rRNA from 1 species